rnacentral:rRNA from 1 species
CCUACGGGAGGCAGCAGUGGGGAAUAUUGCGCAAUGGGCGAAAGCCUGACGCAGCGACGCCGCGUGAGGGAUGAAGGUCUUCGGAUCGUAAACCUCUGUCAGCAGGGAAGAACGGUCACUGUGCUAAUCAGCAGUGAAUUGACGGUACCUGCAAAGGAAGCACCGGCUAACUCCGUGCCAGCAGCCGCGGUAAUACGGAGGGUGCGAGCGUUAAUCGGAAUUACUGGGCGUAAAGCGCUCGUAGGCGGUAUGUCAAGUCAAGGGUGAAAGCCCCGCGCUCAACGUGGGAACUGCCUUUGAUACUGGCAAACUGGAGUGUGUGAGAGGAUAGUGGAAUUCCAGGUGUAGGAGUGAAAUCCGUAGAUAUCUGGAGGAACAUCAGUGGCGUAGGCGACUAUCUGGCACAUAACUGACGCUGAGGAGCGAAAGCGUGGGUAGCAAACAGGAUUAGAUACCCCAGUAGUC